AGAGUUUGAUCAUGGCUCAGAUUGAACGCUGGCGGUAGGCUUAACACAUGCAAGUCGUGCGAGAAAGCACCUUCGGGUGCGAGUAGAGCGGCGAACGGGUGAGUAACGCGUAGGAAUCUACCUAGUAGAAGGGGAUAGCCCGAGGAAACUCGGAUUAAUACCGUAUACCUCCUUAGGGAGAAAGAGGGCUUAGCUUUGAUGCUCUCGCUAUUAGAUGAGCCUGCGUAAGAUUAGCUUGUUGGUGAGGUAAAGGCUCACCAAGGCUACGAUCUUUAGCUGGUCUGAGAGGACGAUCAGCCACAUUGGGACUGAGACACGGCCCAGACUCCUACGGGAGGCAGCAGUGGGGAAUAUUGGACAAUGGGCGCAAGCCUGAUCCAGCCAUACCGCGUGUGUGAAGAAGGCUUUCGGGUUGUAAAGCACUUUAAGUAAGGAGAAAAAGACUGUAGUUAAUACCUGCAGUCCGUGAUGUUACUUACAGAAUAAGGACCGGCUAAUUCCGUGCCAGCAGCCGCGGUAAUACCGAAGGUCCAAGCGUUAAUCGGAAUUACUGGGCGUAAAGCGCGCGUAGGUGGUUUUUUAAGUUGGAUGUGAAAGCCCUGGGCUCAACCUAGGAACUGCAUCCAAAACUAGAUGACUAGAGUACGAAAGAGGGAGGUAGAAUUCACAGUGUAGCGGUGGAAUGC
rnacentral:rRNA from 1 species